ensembl:lncRNA
AGCUCCUUCCUUUGUGGGGUUUCUCUGUAAGCCUGCAUCUUCAGUGACAGAGCUGUGAUCAGCGCUUGAUGCAGCAACCAUACAGAAGGAGAAAGCCCAAGGCUUUGACCCAGCUCCUCCUCCAUUAAGGAGGCUGCUGCUUUACCUGGAGCAGCAGUAAUAGGGAUUAGGUACCACUUGGGCCAAAAGGACAGCAGUCAUAAAUGAAUCAAAAGACACCACGAAAUCUCAUGCACAGUUGCCAAGAGCUCUGAGACCGAAGCAAGCAGUGGCUGUGUCCCCAGGCUGGGGUGACACCAGGGCUGUGCCUUGGCUGCGCCCACCUGCACAAUGGGUGCUGUGCAGCAG